CCCGUGUAGUAGGCUCCCACGCCCGUCCCUCGCUCUUGGUCUUGGUCUUCGUCUUCUUCCCCGCGCGCUCCUCCCCCUCCCCGUCGACCAACCCCGUCCCCCUCCGCCUCCGCCGGCCCAUCUCCGCCGCGAAUCGUAGAACUGAACCAUGGCGAAGAUCAAGCCAAAGGCAUUGCUGGCACAGAGCAAACAGAAGAAGGGCCCUACUCAGAUCGGCUUGGUGAGGAUCAUCACCUACAUCGUCCUCGGCGCCCUAGCAGUGUCCUCCGUCUACUAUGCCUAUCAGUACUGGCAGAGCAAAGGACCGGCCGUUGCGGCAGCAGCAGCAGAAGGCGCUGUGGGGAACUAAGACCCAGGAAUGUUGUUGAUUUCGCUGCUGUUGUUGUGUUGUGUUGUCGGUUUUUUCUGGUGUUCGCGGUCCGGUAAAUUUGUGAUACAUUGACAGAGCACGCCACUACUAGUCCCCCUGUAAAUUGUCUUAACAUUUAUACUUAUGUUUCUUUCUUUGA